rnacentral:rRNA from 1 species
GCCAAUGCUAGCCCUAAGCAUAACCAACACUAAUACCAAACCAACAUACACUAAACCAUUCACCUACACAAAGUAUAGGCGAUAGAAAUUUUAAUCUGGCGCUAUAGACAUAGUACCGUAAGGGAAAGAUAGAAAACCACCCAAGCACAAAACAGCAAAGACUAACUCCUGUACCUUUCGCAUAAUGAAUUAGCUAGAAACAAUUUUACGAAGAGGACUACAAGCCAAAUCCCCCGAAACCAGACGAGCUACCCAAAAACAGCUGAAAGAGCGCACCCGCCUAUGUGGCAAAAUAGUGGGAAGAUUUCUGGGUAGAGGUGACAAGCCUACCGAGCCUGGUGAUAGCUGGUUAUCCAAGACAGAAUCUUAGUUCAACCUUAAGCUUACCUAUAGAACUACCUAAUCCCCCUGUAAGCUUAACUGCUAGUCUAAAGAGGGACAGCUCUUUAGACACUAGGAAAAAACCUUACGGAGAGAGUAAAACCCUCAAUCACCAUAGUUGGCUUAAAAGCAGCCAUCAAUUAAGAAAGCGUUCAAGCUCAACACUAACCACCACAAAAAUACCAAACACAUAACUGAACUCCUCACACCACAUUGGAUUAAUCUAUCACCAUAUAGAAGCAACAAUGCUAGUAUAAGUAACAUGAAUAUUUUCUCCACUGCAUAAGCCUAAAUCGGACCGAAAGCCUCACCGAUAUUUAACAGCCAGGCAUAACAAGCACAAACAAGCCCAUGCCACCUUCACUGUUAACCCAACACAGGCAUGCCCCAAGGAAAGGUUAAAAAAAGUAAAAGGAACUCGGCAAACCCAAACCCCGCCUGUUUACCAAAAACAUCACCUCUAGCAUUACUAGUAUUAGAGGCACUGCCUGCCCAGUGACACACGUUUAACGGCCGCGGUACCCUGAC